rnacentral:rRNA from 1 species
GAUGAACGCUGGCGGCGUGCCUAAUACAUGCAAGUCGAGCGAACGGACGAUAAGCUUGCUUCCCAGAUGUUAGCGGCGGACGUGCGAGUAACACGUUGAUAACUUACCUAUAAGACUGGGAUAACUUCGGGAAACCGGAGCUCAUACCGGAUAAUAUUUUGAACUUCAUGGUUCAAAAGUGAAAGACUGUCUUGCUGUCACUUAUAGAUGGAUCCGCGCUGCAUUAGCUAGUUGGUAAGGUAACGGCUUACCACGGCAACGAUGCAUAGCCGACCUGAGAGGGUGAUCGGCCACACUGGAACUGAGACACGGUCCAGACUCCUACGGGAGGCAGCAGUAGGGAAUCUUCCGCAAUGGGCGAAAGCCUGACGGAGCAACGCCGCGUGAGUGAUGAAGGUCUUCGGAUCGUAAAACUCUGUUAUUAGGGAAGAAGAUAUGUGUAAGUAACUGUGCACAUCUUGACGGUACCUAAUCAGAAAGCCACGGCUAACUACGUG